AUGGUGGCGGCGAUGGUCCUGGCGUGCGACGCCCACCGGUCCGCCAUGCACCCCCCGGGCGGGUACUGGAAGCACGGGCACGACGCCGGCACCCCGGUGACGGCCAACUACGAAGACUUCAGAAUGCUUACCUCCAUGGCGUUCUUUACGUCGCUGGCGCUCGUGGUGCUGCUCUCCUGCGACCGCUUCUACCGGACGUGGGAGGACGUGAUAGGGCUGCUGCUCCUGGCUCUCUUGGACGUCGGCUGCCUCGUCUCCGCCUACGUCGUCGCCGCCAGCCCGAUCGACCCAACCCACAGCCCCGUCUUCCUCCUCGGCACCGUCGUGGUCUUGGCCUUCCUCUUCUUCGGCGCCCCCAGGGCUUGGAGACUUGUCAAUCGCUGCUGGUGA
rnacentral:rRNA from 1 species